rnacentral:rRNA from 1 species
GACGAACGCUGGCGGCGUGCUUAACACAUGCCAGUCGAACGGAAAGGCCCUGCUUGCAGGGUACUCGAGUGGCGAACGGGUGAGUAACACGUGGGUGAUCUGCCCUGCACUUCGGGUUAAGCCUGGGAAACUGGGUCUAUUACCGGAUAGGAGCCAUUUUUAGUGUGAUGGUUGGACAGUUUUUUCGGUGUCGGAUGAGCUCGCGGCCUAUCAGCUUGUUGGUGGGGUAAUGGCCUACCAAGGCGGCGACGGGUAGCGGGCCUGAGAGGGUGGACGGCGACAUUGGGACUGAGGGGAGGCCGAGACGCCGAAGAGUGGAAGCAGGGGGGAAGAUUGAUCCAGCGGCGCCGGCCGGAUGCAGAGACGCCUCGGAUUGGAUGACGGUUUUAGUGUUGAAGACGGCUAGCGAUAUGGACGAAGCUUGUUGUGACGUUACCUAGAGAAGAAGCACCGGCUAACUACGUG